AUCAAAUGGGAUUCCCCGGAUGGCUGAUGGCUAAAGUUGAUGGCCAAGCUUACCUGGUUGGGUGGUAAUACGCGCAGCAGAACUUCACUGGAUAGUUGAAUACUUCGAUACUUGUAUAGCUGGAUACUUGGAUACCUAGGUACUUGGAUAGCUGGAUACUGGAUACCCGUAUAAAUCGAGUGGCUCUGUAAAUGGCUGUGGAUUGGCGAUUGCCUCGGACUUUGCUUUUGUUUUAUUCCGCAGAAGUGUAAAUUGCGGCUCAAUGUGCGAAAUUAUCAUUACCAUAUCGGGUUGUCAAGAAUUUUAACGGCCAUUUCUGUGAGUGUGUGCGAGCUGCCAAGUGUGUGUGAGUGUGUUUGUGACAAACGCAAGCUCAUGUAAGUGCUCUCAUCGAGUGGAUUUACGUGGAAUUGCAAGUGCUCGCCCCUUCUGCGACCCCAAUCCUGCCCCUGGCCCCCCUGCUGAUGGAUGAAGCUGCCACUCGCCCGCUCUCUGCCUCUCCCUCUCCCGCUCUCGCACAGGUGGACACCCAAUAUGGCUAUUGAGUUAUUCACUUUGACAUGCCGGCAGCGACGACAGUGGCAUUCCACUCCAUUGUGAGUCCACUGGGCUGAGCCGAAAACUGCAGCUGGAAUGCGUAUUAGCAAUAACAGGGCGCAUAUUUCGUGCACUUUUCGUUACUCUCUUUUUCCUUUUGGUGCUGGCCCCCCAUUGACAUCCCCCUCCCCAUCCUACAUUUUUUAUUUUAUUUCUAUGUGUGGUUUUUCGGGUGUGUGCCUUAUAGGUGGAUGAAGAAUUAUGACAACAUGGCAUAGUUGGUGAAAGUAUUUAGGAGCGACCUGGCGGUUACAUGCCCCACCGACAUUACACCCCCACUCCACUCCCCCUUCGGUUUUAAUUACGCCCCUUUACGGCAGGCAGUACACGCACAUAUUUUUGGCAGGGUGCGUGUGUGUGUGUGUUUGCUUGAUGGUGGAGGGGGGAAGGGGAGGCAAGCUUAAGGUCAGCUGCGAGUCCUGCGGCAAAAGUCCAACCCUUGGCAAAAGAUGUCUGCCGCAGCCACUGUGCUGCUCACUCUCACACAAACUAGCGCACACAGGCAUAAACGCACACACGCACAGUGUACACUGUGGAAAUAAACCGGUUUCCUGAGAGCAAGGGGUUCAACCUCUUUGCAUUAUUGGGCGGAGACUU
ensembl:ncRNA lncRNA:CR46337 long non-coding RNA:CR46337